UAACAUACAGAGACUGGAGGGCUGCAGGGGGUCUCCACUGUGGCCACUGAAAGAAAAAAACAAAACCCAAACCAAAAAACAUAAAAACAAAAGGAAAAUUCUAGAAAUAGGAUCAGCUGAACCUGGGAGACCAUAAAGCCUGUGGCCCAGAAGAAGCUGGGUUCAGGGUGAGACAAAUGAUUAGGUGAUUAAAAAACCCUAAGAGUAUCGGAGCAGGCUUGCUAAUCCCCCUUUCAUGGAUUAGACAACCAGUGGAGGUUUAGAAGAAUGAAGGACUCAUCCAUGCCACACAAAUUAGCACUUGAAUCUAUACAUGUUGGUUGUUUUCUGUUAGUGCAAAACUACAUUUAAUAUCUAUGCCUAGAGGGUCUCCACUUCCUUAAAGACUAGCAAUAAGCUGUUGUGUUUUUAAGACAUAAACUGAUUCUAUCAUGGAUAAAGAUGGCAAGCAUUAAAGUAGGGAGGUAGGGGCAGGAUUCUCUUUUCAGAGUCCCUGUCCUCAGUUAAAAAGUGAUAGCAAUUUUCUGAGUUUUUUUUUCUUUAAAUGAUCCCUAUCACAUGAGAAAUUUGACUUGCUAUACAAAAUUACCAAUUUCUCUUGGGCAAAGAAAAUUAAAGAGGUACUAUAUUAGAAUUUACUCUACGCUGUUAUUACAAAGAGAAACAGUCAAUAGACUGCUUAAACAAGAAUAAAAAUCUUAGACCUCUUAUCAAAAGUGAUUCUCAGCCAGUAGAAGGAGUACAAAUGAAUGGGGCUCAUGCAUCAUUUCCCUUAAAGCACAACCAGGAAGUGACAGACCUUAGUCACAUGGCCACAUAGCCUGUCCAACCUUCAGCUGGAUACCAAUAUUCACAGACAAAAGACAGGAGUUCUGUUAUUGAAGGAAGAGGGUUGGCCAAAUUUUAUUGGUGGACAGAUUGUAGGCUCUUCCACAGGUGCAAACAUAGAAGAAAUGCAAGACAGCAUGGAACUCAAUUUAAGAUAUGGGUCUACUGCUUGGACCGAAGUAGCAAUUGGAUUAAAAAAGAGAAGGAGAAAAUGAAACUUGAGAUAGGCCUGGUAGUAGAACUGGUAUUGAAGUGCCUUUGCAUUCAUCCAAGAAAUAUUUUGAAUGAACCAGUGAUACUACAAGGUGAUGAAGAUACAAAGAUGAUCAAAGUGCACAUGGUCCCUGUCUUGAUGGAGCUCACAUUUUCAUGAUAGAGAACAAAAAUUAAAGAGGAAUCACA
rnacentral:lncRNA from 1 species